UACAGAGGUCCCGAGCGUUUGUUCGGAUUCACUGGGCGUAAAGGGUGCGUAGGUGGCAUGGUAAGUUUGAUGUGAAAGCUCAGGGCUUAACCCCUGAAAUGGCAUUGAAUACUAACUGUGCUGGAGGUUUGGAGGGGGGACUGGAAUUCUUGGUGUAGCAGUGAAAUGCGUAGAUAUCGGGAGGAACACCUGUGGCGAAAGCGGCGCACUGGACCAUAACUGACGCUGAGGCGCGAAAGCUAGGGGAGCAAACAGG
rnacentral:rRNA from 1 species